GCCGCGUUGGCGUAGUGGUAGCGCGUCUCACUCGUAUUGGGAGUUUUCGAUGCACAUGAGAAGGUCACUCGUUCAAUCCGGGUACGCGGCA